UACGUAGGGUGCGAGCGUUAAUCGGAAUUACUGGGCGUAAAGCGUGCGCAGGCGGUUCGUUAAGUCAGCUGUGAAAGCCCCGGGCUUAACCUGGGAAUGGCGGUUGAAACUGGCGAACUUGAAUCUGGCAGAGGGGGGUGGAAUUCCACGUGUAGCAGUGAAAUGCGUAGAGAUGUGGAGGAACACCGAUGGCGAAGGCAGCCCCCUGGGCCAAUACUGACGCUCAUGCACGAAAGCGUGGGGAGCAAACAGG
rnacentral:rRNA from 1 species